rnacentral:rRNA from 1 species
UACAGAGGGUGCGAGCGUUGUCCGGAAUCACUGGGCGUAAAGGGCGCGUAGGUGGCGACCCAAGUCGAUGGUGAAAGCUCGCCGCUCAACGGCGCGUCGGCCACCGAUACUGGGUUGCUCGAGCACUGUAGAGGCUAAUGGAAUUCCGGGUGUAGCGGUGGAAUGCGUAGAGAUCCGGAAGAACACCGGUGGCGAAGGCGGUUAGCUGGGCAGUUGCUGACACUGGAGGCGCGACAGCGGUGGGGAGCAAACAGG